rnacentral:lncRNA from 1 species
UCACAUUACCGAUACCAAAUGACCAUGUGCUUCGCUGGUUGUAGAUUAAAUGAAGGUCUGCACCUCUACCAUCAGUGGCCAAGUUAAUCUGAAUCUUAUGUGUCCACUGCGAUUAGUUUAAUCUGAAUCUUAUAUGUCUUGUUUACUUAGUUCUCCUGCUUUGUUAGCUAUUUGGGUUUAGCUAGAAAUCUAAAUCUUAUGUGUCCACUAGGAUUAGUUUAACCUCCACUACAUGUCUACAUAUAUAAUUAGAUCUAGUCCAUAGUUCCAAACACUGAAAGCAUUUUAAUUGAUGAUAUCUUCAUAUACAAACGGGGUGAAGAUGCCCUAAGCAGGCCAUG